rnacentral:rRNA from 1 species
UACGUAGGGUGCGAGCGUUAAUCGGAAUUACUGGGCGUAAAGCGUGCGCAGGCGGUUCGUUAAGUCUGAUGUGAAAGCCCCGGGCUCAACCUGGGAACUGCAUUGGAAACUGGCGGGCUUGAGUGUGGCAGAGGGGGGUGGAAUUCCGCGUGUAGCAGUGAAAUGCGUAGAGAUGCGGAGGAACACCGAUGGCGAAGGCAGCCCCCUGGGCCAACACUGACGCUCAGGCACGAAAGCGUGGGGAGCAAACAGGAUUAGAAACCCUAGUAGUCC